CACACGCGAAGAUGAAAAGUGUUAGAAUUGGUGCUUCAACGAAGACAAUGUGCGUGCUCGUCAAUAAAUGAAUGAUUUUUUCGGACUGAUGUGAUCCAGUAACUUCUGAUGUGUUUCCUGUUACUUAUUAGUAUUAAAUAUUAUUUUUUUUUAAAAUCUACAUUAAUAAGUAAUUAAUUAGAAUAGUAAAAGAUGAAUGCUGGGCU
rnacentral:lncRNA from 1 species